UUUACUUGCCCUAACCUUCCCUUUCGCAUCGUCGUUCCUUUCAUCUUCCCUCCGUUCCUUUUCUCUUCGCAAUCACAGCAAAUAAGGAGGAGCUCUUCUUCCCUAUGGAGGAGUGCUUCUUCCCUCUCCACAGCGAGAAAUGAGGCUCUUCGUUCCUCUCCACAGCAAGCAAAGAGGAGCUCUUUUUCCCUCUCCGCAACAAGAAAGGAGGAGCUCUUCUUCCCUCUGCGCAGCAAGCAAGGAGAGGCUCUUCUUUCCCUCUCCGCAACAAGUAAGGAGGCUCAUCUUCCCUCUUCGUAGCAAGCAAGGAGAAGUUCUUCUUCCCUCUCUACAAUACAAAAACGGUUACCUAAAGUAAACAAGCUUCUAGAAACUCAUCUUCACUAAGGAGGAGGAGGAGGAGGAGGAGAAAUGGCUGACACAGAUGAUAUUAGGGCAAAAAAAGUCAAAGAAUAAUAAGGGACUAAACACUGAGAUCCUGAGAAAUAUACAUUUUGUAGCAACGCUUGAGGAUAAGAACAAAAAAAAAAAAGGAGUGUUCACCUGAAGUUAUUGCAGAAGGUCAAAUUACAUUCAUAGAUCAAAAAGUAAAAGUGCAUCACGUUCUUCUUGGUGGAUCUUAUUGGAAAGUUUGAGUUGAUAGAGUUUUUAUGGAGAAGGUGGACCUAAUUCUUCCAAAUAAUGAAAUGCUUUUUCUCGAGGAUGUAAUAGGAAGCACAGCUGCUUAGUUAUUUAAGUUUAUAGUUUUGUAUGAUUGAUAUAUAUUUUCCUUAUUUUAAAGUCAUAUACUCUUUUGUAGGAAAGAAACUAUGUUACUAAGUGAAUUUUUUUUACUAGUUUGGAUUGUUUUAAUUAA